rnacentral:rRNA from 1 species
AUUGAACGCUGGCGGCAGGCCUAACACAUGCAAGUCGAGCGGAAGAAGGGGGCUUGCUCCCGGAUUCAGCGGCGGACGGGUGAGUAACGCGUAGGAAUCUACCUAAUAGUGGGGGAUAACGUUCCGAAAGGAACGCUAAUACCGCAUACGUUCCGAGGAAGAAAGCAGGGGACCGCAAGGCCUUGCGCUAUUAGAUGAGCCUGCGUCCGAUUAGCUAGUUGGUAGGGUAAAGGCCUACCAAGGCGACGAUCGGUAACUGGUCUGAGAGGAUGAUCCGCCACACUGGAACUGAGACACGGUCCAGACUCCUACGGGAGGCAGCAGUGGGGAAUUUUGGACAAUGGGCGCAAGCCUGAUCCAGCCAUGCCGCGUGAGUGAAGAAGGCCUUCGGGUUGUAAAGCUCUUUCGGCCGGGAAGAAAUCGCACAGGUUAAUACCCUGUGUGGAUGACGGUACCGGAAUAAGAAGCACCGGCUAACUACGUG